rnacentral:lncRNA from 1 species
GGGGGGGGGGGGGGGAACAACCCCAAAUAUGAGUGAAUAAGUUAUAAGACAUUUACAUAGUAUAGACUAAUGGUAAACAAAGUGCAUAAAAUUUAAAGUUAAAUAUUAUACUCAGGUCAAAAUGAGAGGAUAUUUUUAGCGCUAUAUGUCAUAUUUAGGAAAAAAAAGUUUAAAAUAUUUCUUUUGUACUACCUUUAUUUUUUAAAAUAUUUUAAAGUCUUCAACCUUGGGCAUUGAUUCCUGAAACACAUCCAAUAAAAGUCUUUAAAAUAGGAUAUUUCUAUUGCUCCAAGCUCAUUUUACCCUCGUAAUUGUUUACGUGCCCUUCAUUUAUUAGUCUAAAAAUUUCCUUCCAAAUUUAUCUCCAAACAAUAAGUAUACAUAUGAACUGUUAUUGUAAUACGCAUACAGUCAAUUUGUUACUGCAUAAACGUUGCAAAUAGGGUACUUUGUAAUAUAUAUACAUGGCUUACACAAGAACAAGUGUAUAAUGUAGGGCUAGUUUAGAAUUGCGGUUGCUAAUUAAAUAAGCUGCUUCUGUUGUGUGGAUGAAAUAAGCUGCUGAUUAAGAAAGUAACUUGGUGUUUGGUAAACUGUACUGUUAUGAUUGCUAUGUAAGUUUAAAAAAUAGUGUACAUUAAAAGUAUUGUUUUAUUAUGUAAUGACCAAAAUAGAUAUAAUUUUAAAUUACCUUUUAUUUUUUAGAGUAUGUUUAAUAAUGUUUGGACAUCUUUUU